GGUGCGCAGGCGCAGCCAGGAGACCUAAGUCAAUGAGAGGUCCCGCUUCCACCUGCGGGACCACAACUCGGGAACAAACGGAAUGACACCGACGCCGCGUCUCGCCGCCAGUUCCCGCACCCCGAGUCAACCCCACACGGGCUCCCGCGGAUCUGCUCCUCCCCGCGUGGGGACGGCGGCCCCGCUCACCAUGGCGCGGAUUCGGACCUCGCCCCACUCUCCUCACAGCUGCGGGAAGCAGGGUCACUGCGCCCAACAUGGAUGGAGGAGUCUUCCUCUGCCACACACCGGAAGUGCCCGCCUCCAUUCCGAUUGGUGUUCCGCCUCGAGGCCCUGAUUAGCUGGUGAGGCCUGAGUGACAGGAGCAGAUCCCUUAGCGACUGAGGCUGUGAAGGGACGCAGCACAGUCAUUCUCAGCCCUAUCCUCCACCCCAGGCACAGAACAGAUUGGCCUUACACCUGGACUGCAAAGUCGUCCCUGCACCUAGUGGGAACUUCUCCUUCAUAUAGGUCUCUAGCAUAUGCAGAUCAUUAAACAAGGUGUAGUGGAUUGAUCCCCCUGCCUCACAACUGAAAGAAAGCCCAUUUCCAUUCAGGUCAGAUUUAAACUACCGGAUGGAUAUUUACCAGGUAUCAGCAAUUUCAACAAGGCACACCAUGGAUUGCAAACACCUCUCUCAACUGCACGUCGUUGAACAAACAUAACAGUGCCCCAGCCUUCUGCGGUGGCACUGCCUUAUCAUGCAACCUUGUGAUGUAGAGGCAGGGCAUCAGUAGUUUAAAACAGCCUGGUCUAUGGCACAAUACACCACCAAUUCUGGUCCAGGGAGGUAUCAGUAUAAGAUGAUGAUGGCUCAUGCCAAACAAGUUUAUUAAGAAGUGCAUGUAUGAUACACUGUUUGCAGAGGGAGAAUCAGUCAGCAGAAACCAAUUCAGCAAUGCUGACAAGAAAAAUACAGGAUGCCUCAGAUUGAGCACAGGUGGCCUUGGAGCUUAUAACCACGGCCCCUCAGGCCAAAGAGCCAGGUUCCCUUGACUCCUUCAAGACCUCCUGAAGCACCAAAACAGACCUUGCCAAGUUGACCUUUGGCAAGAACAUAAAACUAGCACCUCUAAGAAAGUCUUGGAUGGCAGGAGACGGGUGUUAAAUCAUUCUUAAAGUUGUUUUCUAUGUGGGCAUAUUAGAAGUAAGUUCAGGGUGGCCAAGGAAGAGACCAGCAUUGCCAUUUUAGUGUCUGGAAAAAGAAAACGUUACUCUUCAUCUAGAAGCUAUGUUCCUGCCCUAAGCAGAGGCUUUGUUGGUUUUUAUUCUAAAGAGGUGGUGGCUGUAUCAUUUCCCCUUUGGCUUGAGUCUCACCUCAGUCUUAUUCAUUUGGAUAGUCUAGAAAGAAUUGCUGCAACGGAUAUGGAGAAGUAAGAGAAAAGACGUGCUGCUCCAGAGACAAGUGGAUCUUUGAGGAAACUAAGGUUUUACCGGGAUAGGGAAAUUAAAAAUAUUUGAAUUUCUUAAUCCAAAAACAAGAUUAAUAGUACUUGAUGGAAAAUACUCAUAUUUGAUUUGUUAAACAUAUAUCCUUUUGUCUCUUCUAUAAAUGCUGUUCCUUUUAAACUC
rnacentral:lncRNA from 1 species